rnacentral:rRNA from 1 species
UACGGAGGGUGCAAGCGUUAUCCGGAUUCACUGGGUUAAAGGGUGCGUAGGUGGGCCUGUAAGUCAGUGGUGAAAUCUCCGGGCUUAACCCGGAGACUGCCCAUUGAUACAUAGGUCUUGAAUUUCUGAGGUCAGCGGAAGAUGUCAUGGUAGCGGUGAAAUGCUUAGGAGUAUGACAUAGAACACCAAUUGCGAAGGCAGCUGGCG